CUGGAAGCUUAGAAGGGCGUACGGGGGAUGCCUUGGCUCUCGAAGGAGACGAAGGACGUGUUAAGCUGCGAAAAGCUGCGGGGAGUUGCAAGAGAACGUUAAUCCGCAGAUGUCCGAAUGGGGAAACCCGUCACGCUGAAGGCGUGACCGAACGUCAAACCUCCUGAACUGAAACAUCUAAGUAGGGAGAGGAAGAGAAAAUAAUAAUGAUUCCGUAAGUAGUGGCGAGCGAACGCGGAAGAGCCCAAACCUGUGUGUUUACACACAGGGGUUGUAGGACUGAUUGUCGUGUAUAAAUUCAAGUGGAAGAUGUCUGGAAAGUCAUGCGAUACAGGGUGAUAGCCCCGUACACGUAAAAAAUUUAUGCACAUUCAGUAUCCUGAGUAGGGCGGGGCUGGUGAAACCCUGUCUGAAUCUGCCGGCACCAUCCGGUAAGGCUAAAUACUCUCGAGAGACCGAUAGUGAACCAGUACUGUGAAGGAAAGGUGAAAAGAACCGCAAGAAGCGGAGUGCAAUAGACCCUGAAACCGUACGCCUACAAGCGGUGGGAGCGCGAUAAUAUCAAGUGACCACGUGCCUUUUGCAUAAUGAGCCUACGAGUUGUUACUCACUACCAAGUUUAAGGUCUUAAGGACUGGAGGCGCAGCGAAAGCGAGUCUGAAUAGGGCGAUAGGUAGUGGGUACAGACGCGAAACCGAGUGAUCUACCCUUGAGCAGGUUGAAGUCCCGAUAGUCUCGGGAUGGAGGACCGAACUGGUAAACGUUGAAAAGUUUUCGGAUGACUUGAGGGUAGGGGUGAAAGGCUAAUCAAACUCGGAGAUAGCUCGUACUCCCCGAAAUGCAUUUAGGUGCAGCGUCGUGGUGUGUAUGUUGGAGGUAAAGCUACCGAUAGGGCUAGGGGGUGUCACAGCCUACCAAACCCUGACGAACUCUGAAUGCCAACAUAUUUCAGCGGCAGUGAGCCCCGGGGUGCUAAGGUCACGGGGCGAGAGGGGAACAACCCAGACUUGCAGCUAAGGUCCCUAAGUUACAGUUAAGUUGAAUCUAACGAUGUGGAGAUGCAUAGACAGCCAGGAUGUUUGCUUGGAAGCAGCAAUUCAUUUAAAGAGUGCGUAACAGCUCACUGGUCGAGCGUUUCUGCGCGGAAAAUAAUCGGGCAUCAAACUGUACACCGAAGCUCAAGAAUUCGCAAGAAUUGGUAGGGGAGCAUUCAUGUCAGCUGCGAAGGUGUGUCGUGAGAGGUGCUGGAGCGACAUGAAAAGCAAAUGUAGGCAUAAGUAACGAUAAAUGAUGAGAGUAACAUCAUCGCCGUAAGACUAAGGGUUCCGGAACUAUGGUAAUCAGUUCCGGGUUAGUCGGGUCCUAAGGAUAACCCGAGAGGGGAUGCCGAUGGCAAACGGGUCAAUAUUCCCGUACUUGUAUAUAGUGCGAUGGGGUGACGGAGAAACGUAAGUGGUGCGAACUGACGGAAUAGUUCGUUGAAACGCGUAGGCUUUGAGAGUUGUAGUUAAAUGCGCAACUUGAGCUGAAACGUGAUAGUACCUGCAAUGCUUCGGCAAAGCGGGAUAAUCCACCCAAGUCGGCUUCCUAGAAAAACCUCUAAGCUUCAGCUAUAUACAACCCGUACCGCAAACCGACACAGGUAGUCGAGGAGAGCAUCCUCAGGCGCUCGAGUGAAUCGUGGCUAAGGAACUAGGCAAAUUGGUCUCGUAACUUCGGAAGAAGAGACGCUCCGCGAGGAGCCGCAGUGAAGAGGCCCAGGCAACUGUUUAACAAAAACACAGGACUCUGCUAAAUCGUAAGAUGACGUAUAGGGUCUGACACCUGCCCGGUGCUGGAAGGUUAAGGAAGGGGGUUAGCGCAAGCGAAGCUCUUGACUGAAGCCCCAGUAAACGGCGGCCGUAACUAUAACGGUCCUAAGGUAGCGAAAUUCCUUGUCGGGUAAGUUCCGACCUGCACGAAUGGUGUAAUGAUCUGGGCACUGUCUCAGCCACGAGCUCGGUGAAAUUGAAGCAUCGGUGAAGAUACCGAUUACCCGCACUGGGACGGAAAGACCCCGUGAACCUUUACUAUAGCUUCACGUUGAGCUUGGAUGCAAGAUGUGUAGGAUAGGUGGGAGCAGAUGAAAUGGUCACGCUAGUGGCUGUGGAUGCGUCGUUGAAAUACCACCCUUUUUGCAUUUAGGUUCUAACUCCUCAACAGGAGAACAGCGUGUGGUGGGUAGUUUGACUGGGGUGGUCGCCUCCAAAAGAGUAACGGAGGCUCGCAAAGGUGCCCUCAGCAUGGUUGGUAAUCAUGCGCAGAGCGUAUUAGUAUAAGGGCGCUUGACUGUGAGAGCGACGGCUCGAACAGGUACGAAAGUAGGCUAAAGUGAUCCGGUGGUUCCGAAUGGAAGGGCCAUCGCUCAAAGGAUAAAAGGUACUCCGGGGAUAACAGGCUGAUCGCAUCCAAGAGCUCAUAUCGACGAUGCGGUUUGGCACCUCGAUGUCGGCUCGUCACAUCCUGGGGCUGGAGAAGGUCCCAAGGGUUGGGCUGUUCGCCCAUUAAAGUGGCACGCGAGCUGGGUUCAGAACGUCGCAAGACAGUUCGGUCCCUAUCUAGUGUGGGCGUAGGAAUAUUGAGAAGAGCUGUCUCUAGUACGAGAGGACCGAGAUGGACGAACCGCUAGUGUAUCUGUUGUGUUGCCCAAUGCAGUGCAGAGUAGCUAUGUUCGGACGGGAUAAGUGCUGAAAGCAUCUAAGCACGAAGCCUCCUUCAAGAUGAGUAUUCCACCCGUUAUGGGAAAGGGCUGUAGAAGAUGACUACGUUGAUAGGUUACAGGUGUAAGCAUAGUGAUAUGUUCAGCCGAGUAAUACUAAUUGCCCGAUAGCUUCCUUUU
rnacentral:rRNA from 1 species